rnacentral:rRNA from 1 species
CAGUCGCCACGGGAAAACGAAGGGUGCAAGCGUUAAUCGGAAUUACUGGGCGUAAAGGGCUCGCAGGCGGUUUCUUAAGUCUGAUGUGAAAGCCCCCGGCUCAACCGGGGAGGGUCAUUGGAAACUGGGAAGCUUGAGUGCAGAAGAGGAGAGUGGAAUUCCACGUGUAGCGGUGAAAUGCGUAGAGAUGUGGAGGAACACCAGUGGCGAAAGCACUCUGCUGGGCCGACACUGACACUGAGAGACGAAAGCUAGGGGAGCAAAUGGGAUUAGAUACCCCUGUAGUCCCUGUCUCUUAUAA